UUGCGGAAGGUUCGUUC
rnacentral:rRNA from 1 species